AAGACCUUGCGCUUUUGGAGCGGCCGAUGUCUGAUUAGCUUGUUGGUAAGGUAAAAGCUUACCAAGGCUUCGAUCAGUAGCUGGUCUGAGAGGACGGCCAGCCACACUGGGACUGAGACACGGCCCAGACUCCUACGGGAGGCAGCAGUGGGGAAUUUUGGACAAUGGGGGCAACCCUGAUCCAGCCAUGCCGCGUGAGUGAAGAAGGCCUUCGGGUUGUAAAGCUCUUUCAGCCGGAACGAAACGGUUACGGUUAAUACCCGUGACUACUGACGGUACCGGAAGAAGAAGCACCGGCUAACUACGUGCCAGCAGCCGCGGUAAUACGUAGGGUGCAAGCGUUAAUCGGAAUUACUGGGCGUAAAGCGUGCGCAGGUGGUUUUGUAAGUCAGAUGUGAAMUCCCCGGGCUUAACCUGGGAACU
rnacentral:rRNA from 1 species